rnacentral:misc_RNA from 1 species
GUCGGAAGCCUGCUGCUGGUGACAAAAAGGACCGAGAAGACACAGGAAAGAAAGGAGCGAAUGGUGAGGAAAGAUCCGAGACAGGUGGUGAAUUCAUGGAUGGUGAGAUUGGAGAAGUUGCUGAUUUAAGGGCUAAUUGAUUUAGUUCAGCUUUAGCCUUAUAAAUCACUUCUUGAAUAACCACAUCAGGACUCAUAGCCAGAUUAAUCAUUUCUUGGUCACCACCAUCUUGUAAAAGAAGAUAGCCAAUAAUCUUAGUAACAUUAUC